rnacentral:rRNA from 1 species
GACGAACGCUGGCGGCGUGCUUAACACAUGCAAGUCGAGCGGAAAGGCCCUUCGGGGUACUCGAGCGGCGAACGGGUGAGUAACACGUGAGUAACCUGCCCUGGACUUUGGGAUAACCCUCGGAAACGGGGGCUAAUACCGAAUACGACUUGGUCUCGCAUGGGACUGGGUGGUAAAGUUUUUCGGUCUGGGGUGGGCUCGCGGCCUAUCAGCUUGUUGGUGGGGUGAUGGCCUACCAAGGCGACGACGGGUAGCCGGCCUGAGAGGGCGACCGGCCACACUGGGACUGAGACACGGCCCAGACUCCUACGGGAGGCAGCAGUGGGGAAUAUUGCACAAUGGGCGGAAGCCUGAUGCAGCGACGCCGCGUGAGGGAUGACGGCCUUGG